rnacentral:rRNA from 1 species
GGGUGCGAAUAUAUUAGCAUGAAUGCACCAGAUACCAUCCGAACUUUAAAGUAAGCUUGCUUGGGCAAGAGCAGUACUAGGAUGGGUGACCUCCUAGGAAGUCCUUGAGUCGCAUCCC